GCUUUAUUAGGCUUGAAUCCUUUAUUUAGUUGCAAGAAAAUCCUUAUAGAUCCAUUUUGCCUCAUUCAUGCACAUAAGUAGGGCUGAGCAUUCGAUUGAUUUGAUUCAAAAUCGAACCACCCCCCUGAAAUCAAAAACCAAAUUUCAAAUAAAAAAACACAAAUGAACCAAACCAAAUGAAACCAAAUCAUUUCGAUUAGAUUCAGUUCAAGACCAUUAGUUUGCUCUCAAGCUCAAACGUCCAAUGAAGAAAUGUAAUUUAUCCAAAAUGUAAUAGCUGGAAUUUUAUUAGAGUCUAGAAGAUUUGUUAGAGCUAAAUUGUAACACCCACCAAAUUCCCAUUGUCAGUAAGAAUCUAGGGUUUCAAGGAUGAGAGGUGUGUGUGAAAACAAUUUUUAUAGCGUUAUAUGUGGUGAUGGAGAGUUUAGAGUGAGAGAGAUGAAAGUUUAAGUAAUAAAAUCGUUAAAUUGGGCCAAAUGGAUUUCGACAGCUAAAAGUCCCUUUUUCAAGAUGGGUAUAAAUUGGCCUAGGC
rnacentral:misc_RNA from 1 species